rnacentral:rRNA from 1 species
AACGAACGCUGGCGGCAUGCCUAACACAUGCAAGUCGAACGAGACCUUCGGUCUAGUGGCGCACGGGUGCGUAACGCGUGGGAGUCUGCCCUUCGGUUCGGAACAACAGUUAGAAAUGACUGCUAAUACCGGAUAAUGACGUAAGUCCAAAGAUUUAUCGCCGAAGGAUGAGCCCGCGUAAGAUUAGGUAGUUGGUGGGGUAAUGGCCUACCAAGCCGACGAUCUUUAGCUGGUCUGAGAGGAUGAUCAGCCACACUGGGACUGAGACACGGCCCAGACUCCUACGGGAGGCAGCAGUGGGGAAUAUUGGACAAUGGGCGAAAGCCUGAUCCAGCAAUGCCGCGUGAGUGAGGAAGGCCUUCGGGUCGUAAGACUCUGUCGGGUGGAAAGAAAUAGUAUAGGUGCUAAUACCAUCUAUGCUUGACGGUACCGCCAAAGGAAGCACCGGCUAACUCCGUGCCAGCAGCCGCCGGUAAUCUGUAGUCGU